UUUCUCCCACACUUUCGAGGUUACACCAGAAAAACCCUAAAAAUCUCCCCCUCUGACUUUGAAAAAAACUUGUCGGAUUGCUUAUUGCGGACAGCUGUUCAACUUGGGCAAGGAAGGUGAGUCACCAUCUUCUUUCAAUUCUUGAAUAGUCUCGUGCCAAAAUUUUGGUUUAUUCUUGGAGUCUUCAAUUGUGGGAUUCAGUGCUUUUAUCAAAUUGUGACUGUUAAAGUUCUGUUGGUCUUCAAUUUGAAGUUAAAUGUAAUGGUGUCUUUAUGCAGCUAUGUUUGAAAGUUAAUUGUCACCGAUGAGGAGUGUAAUUUUCUUUAGUUGGGGAUUCCAUUGCAGUUAAAGGAGAAAUGGGUUUUGAAUGAAUCUGGAGCCUCUUUGUAUGGCUGAAUGAUUUUCAUAUUCUUUUUCGAAAUGGGAGAUGAAUUCAAGAAGACAUCUGUAGUUUUUGUAGGGGUAUGUUACUGUGUUGAUUAUUGAGACAUGCCCAUCUUAUAGCAGUUUGGUUUUAGAUGAUAUAGUAGCAUUAAGAGAGACAUUCCUAGUUGUGUGCUUGAUGGUUUUUCUACGGAAUGUUGCUGCAUAAGAAAUAUUCACUUUAUGCUAUUUUGCUUAGAGUUGAUCAGUGGUUAAUAUUGAAGGGAGAUGUAUUGUUCUGUUCUUGAUUCGAUGUUUUAAGGUUGAUGAGUAUGAGUUUGAGUUGAAAAGUUUGAUUAUAGUUCAUAAGGCCAUGGAAACCCCAGGCCAGGAAGGGCUGAUUACAAAGAGGUCAUUGAGGAAGAAAGCGGGUUUGCGGAAUUAUGAUGAGAAUUUGAUGGAUGAGUUGAUAGAGAAUCAUUUGGGUGGUUCUUUGAAGAAAAGGAAUCGAACGAGGGAGGAUCUGGAAAAGGAGACUGAAACUGAGGCAAUGAUAGCAAUAUCUCUGGGGUUUCCAAUUGAUGCAUUACUUGAGGAGGAGAUUCAAGCUGGGGUGGUAAGACAAUUGGGUGGAAAAGAGCAGAAUGAUUAUAUUGUUGUGAGGAAUCAUAUCCUUGCAAGGUGGAGAAGUAAUGUGAAGGCAUGGCUAUCAAAGGGACAGAUUAAAGAAACUGUGAGCAAUGAGUAUGAGAAUUUGAUAUCUUCUGCUUAUGAUUUUCUUUUGUACAAUGGAUAUAUCAAUUUUGGAGUUUUUUCAUCCCUUACACCCCCUAUGCCAGAAUUGAUUAAUGAAGGGUCCGUGAUAAUUGUCGGUGCAGGACUUGCUGGUUUAUCAGCAGCAAGGCAACUUAUGUCCUUUGGUUUUAAGGUGGUUGUUUUAGAAGGUAGGAAUCGUCCUGGGGGGAGAGUUUAUACUCAAAAAAUGGGUAGGAAUGACCAAUUUGCUGCUGUGGAUCUUGGAGGUAGUGUUAUUACUGGUAUACAUGCAAAUCCUUUGGGAGUUCUUGCUAGGCAACUUUCUAUUCCACUCCAUAAGGUGCGAGAUAACUGUCCAUUGUACAGACCAGAUGGGGCGCCUGUUGAUAAGGAAGUUGAUUAUAAGAUUGAAUUCAUCUUCAAUAAGUUGCUUGAUAAAGUCAUGGAACUCAGAAAAAUAAUGGGUGGAUUUGCAAAUGAUGUUUCACUGGGUUCAGUUUUGGAGAGACUUAGGAAGUUGUAUGCUGUGGCUAGAAGUACAGAAGAGAGGCAGUUGCUUGAUUGGCAUCUUGCUAACUUGGAAUAUGCAAAUGCAGGAUGUCUCGCAAAUCUAUCUGCUACAUAUUGGGAUCAGGAUGAUCCAUAUGAAAUGGGUGGGGACCACUGCUUUCUAGCUGGAGGGAACUGGAGAUUAAUAAAAGAACUAUGUCAAGGGAUUCCUAUACUCUAUGGGAAGACUGUGAAUACUAUAAGAUACGGAAGUGAAGGUGUUAUGGUUGUUGCUGGUGAACAAGUUUUUCAAGCAGAUAUGGUCCUUUGCACUGUGCCUCUUGGAGUAUUGAAGAAAAGGACCAUCAAUUUUGAACCAGAGCUCCCUGGAAGGAAGCUUGCAGCAAUUGAUAGAUUGGGUUUUGGACUGCUUAAUAAAGUGGCAAUGGUUUUCCCCCAUGUCUUUUGGGGGGAGGAGUUGGAUACAUUUGGAUGUCUCAAUGAGCAUAGCAGUAAACGUGGAGAGUUCUUUUUGUUCUAUGGUAACCAUACUGUUUCUGGAGGCCCGGUACUUAUUGCAUUGGUUGCUGGAGAAGCAGCACAAAUGUUUGAAUACACGGAUCCAUCUAUUAUACUUCACCGUGUUUUAAGUGUUCUUAGAGGUAUAUACAAUCCCAAAGGCAUUGACGUUCCUGACCCCAUACAAACGAUUUGUACAAGAUGGGGCAGUGAUCCCUUUAGUUAUGGUUCAUAUUCUCAUGUUAGGGUACAGUCAUCUGGUAGUGACUAUGAUUUACUUGCAGAAAGUGUUGGUGGUCAGCUGUUUUUUGCUGGUGAGGCAACAACUAGGCAAUAUCCAGCCACAAUGCAUGGUGCCUUCUUGAGUGGUUUAAGAGAGGCUUCUCGCAUUUUAAGAGUCAAUAGAAGUUGGCAAAAUAAUUCAAGGAAGGCUUUUCCGAGGAGUGGUGGAGUAAGCAAUGAUACAUUGGUAGAUCUAUUCAAGAGACCUGACCUAGCAUUUGGAAAAUUUUCUUUUAUAUCUAAUCCUUUGAUACAAGACCCAAAUUCAAUGGGCAUAAUGAGAAUUAUUUUUGAUAAUUGUGGAGAAGAUCUGAAGAAAGAAUUAGAGGGGAGCUUGCAAAAUCCUUUGCACCUGCCAUUGCAGCUUUAUGUAGUGUUAUCUCGUCAACAAGCAUAUGAGCUACAGCUGAUGACAGGGGGUAACGAGGACAAGUUGUCAUAUGUGGUUAAGAACUUGGGCUUGAGGUUAAUGGGACUUAAUGCGCUGUUAAAUCAUUGUGGUUCUUUGGUUUCUAGCAUUACUAAUGCACGUAGAGGCCGAGGCAGGAAAAGGUUAAGUGCUGGACAAUACAACUGCGUGUAAGAUGACAUCAGUUUCAACACUUGACAUUUGAUGGGCAUUUCUGAUUUGGCAUGGAGUGUUUUGAUCCAAACAUUUGCUCCAUGAAAUGGAUCAUAAAUUGGGUAACUUUUUUUACUAUAAUAUAUGGAAAUUUAUAUUGAUAAUUUGAGAUUUAGAAGAGGGUGGGAUUUUGGUACGUGUCUGAGCCCUUUUGUGCUCUCACUUUCUUUUUUAUAUUCCCUUAUUUUUGUCUUCUAGUGACAUGUCAUUAUUAUGCAGGCCGUACGUAUGGAUGUUCUUUUUUUGUCAUUGUCAAGCGAUUAUUUAAUUCCCUCUAGCGCCUGUAUGGACCUAGCCUUGGAUGCAUAGACGUCUAUUGUCUUACUGAGCCAUCAAAUUAAGUAAGUUGGAUUUUGACUUCAAACUGUUAGUAUGAGGUCUGGACCGCACCUAGAAAAGUGGACUGAUGUAUUGGGUUGUCAUAAGACUCUAGCAUAUCUCUCUCUUAUGGGCUUAGUAAGGACCAGAGUGUCUCAGACCCAACUAUUAUCAAGUGCCACUUUGUCCACUCGUUAAUUUUGGAAAAAUCUUGAUGCCCCAAUUAUUACCGCAUGACUCUAGAAAUGCUUUUAUCAAAACGCCUUUUCUCUGCUUUUAUUUAUUUCAAACUCUCACUUCUGAUUCCACUUGCUACUCUGCCUCUUGCAGUUCUUUUGCUAUCUUACUCUCCUUCUUUGUGACUCGCUUUUUCAAUCUAAGGUACGUCUUACUCCCCUAUGAGUUUCGCUAGAAUUCUUAAUGUCGUGGGUCUGGUGUCUUUUAUCUCUCCUUCUUCCCUUUCUCGUUAUUUCUCUAGCGACUAUGCCGACAUCACCAUCUAUAGAAUUAGGGCCUUUCUUCCUAAUGUGAGGUUUGUACUUCCUAAUCCCCCUCCGGCAGGUUUGGUAGAUGCCCAAUAGGGGUGUAGCUUAGUCUUUUUUGUCAAGCAACGCAAUCUAGGACUGACCUUUUCUUUCACCCCUUUCUUCAUCGAGGUCUUCCGUCACUUUAGGGUGACUCCUCGAAUGUUCUCUCCAAAUUCUAUCUUGUUCAUGUGCUGCUUCAAGUCUAUUUGUUUGUGUAGGGGUUUUGCCCCCUCCAUCGAGUUAUUCUAUACUUUCUUUCAUCUAGUUCGGUCUAACCAUGAGUUUUAUUAUUUUGGUCUUCGAGCUGAGUUGUUUAUAUUUGCCGAGUACAAGGACUUGAUCAAAAGCUGGGUUGACGCUUUUGUUAUAGUUGAGUUGAAAGAAGGCUCGGGUCAGUUGGGAUGUCGAUCUUUGGGAGGAAAUUCCCUAGGGCUGCAACGACUUCCUUAGAUUAAUCCUGGUGGACCAAAUCUGCCUCCUUCGAUUGAUUUCUGUGUCGAGGAAGUACGGUGUCGAGAAGUGUAUGUUUAUAUCCAACCUUCAGGACUGCUGGGAAGCCGUUUCUAUUGUGCACAUGGACAAGAUCAGAUUGCUUAAGAAUUUUACCCUAUCUUGAAAGGGUAUAAAGGCGACUCUGGAGGCCUUCAAGGCCAACAAGUCUAUGGUCGACAUGACUCGCAAGGUUUUCCACACUAUCGACUCUACACUCGCAAUUCGUUGUGCUGCUCCUGCCUCAGCACCUUCUUGGGCUCUAGUGCCUAUGCUCGGGGCUCUUGCUCCUCCGCAUCAGAACCUCUGUCCUCGCUAAAGCUUAGACUUCAAUCCAGACUUCCCCUGCUCCUAAGAAAGCCACCAGGGAGCCUGUUGCACUCAGUGAGUCUACAGGGAGUAUUGGAAGAAGGCACCGGAGUGGCUUCUUUGGAUAUCCCGCCUAUCCAGGCUGUGGGGGCCGUCAUAGUUGGGGGCCAUGCUACUAAGCGAGCCCGAAUUGCUAAGACUACAACCAAGGGCAGGACUGCUAAACGCACUCGCACUCCUAAGCUCGCAAAGGCAAUCCUCUCUCCUUUAGUCAACAAAAGGAAGAAAACAGUAGAGCACUUAGCGUCUGCCCCAGACAACGAGUUGUAAGUGCCGCUAAGGUGACUGCUGAGUCUACUUCGGUUUCUGUGGCUGAGAUGUUGCGUGAGAAGAUGUUUGGGGGAGUCUCUAAUGUUUCUAAUCCCCGUUUUCUCGCUUUCAACAGCCAUCUGGCCUGUUCUACUAAACAACAGGUGGCCUUCAAUUUGCGAUCUCGGGAGGAUCUAAGGGAUAGCUUGAGAGAAAUGCUUCUUAUGAUGUUGGGUGUGUUCAUGGAGAUUGAUGCUCAGGACCAGUUUCUCCAAAGCUCAAUGGACCAGUACAUUGUCGAAACGCGUCGUGAGGAGAACAUUGUGGCCUCUGGUGGUGCUCGUGAGCAUAUCAUCGAGUUUCGAAACCAGAUUGAGGAUCUCACCAAACGGUUGGGAGACAUGAAGGAAGAGGUCAACAGGGCUUCUCAACGGGCUUCUACGGCGGAGUCUCAGCAAGAUAAAGCCUUAGUGCAAUUGUCUGCUUUAAAAGAGUCCUGCCGCCAGUGUAAUGAGACCAGGGCUUAGCGCGAUGAGACUUUAACCCAUGCUGAUGUCCUUCAACAAGAGCUUAAUAAACACAUCGAGGAUCUGAAAGACAUGGCUUCCGUAGCGGAGGAGUCUCGCGUUCAGCAACAAUAACUCCAUCGAGAGGUUUCUAUCAUGGAGGAGAGGUGUAUUGCAUUGCUAAGGGAUGUCCGGACUGCAUAAGAUAGGGUCCAGCAGGCAUGUGAGGAGCGUUUGCAGGAGUAUAAGAACUCGGUAAAGCUGAAAGAUCAAAUCCAGCAAGCCUGUGAAGCGCGCCUAGAAGAGUAUAAAGCCUCUGCGGAGAUGAAGGAAAAUAUAUACAAUGAGGCCUUCCGCAUGUUCGCUUCCGAGUACAAUCAAAGCCUUAAAGCGGCUAGGGAUACCCCUCUACUUCGUUUGCAGACCUGCGAGCUCCUGAAGUGGAUUCUGAUAGCGAGGAGGUAUGCUACGGAGAGGAUGGCAACCCUUUGUUCAAAAAUGCUCCUUGCUUGCCUUCCGGACCUCGGGGGAUAAUAUUGUAAAUAACACUGUAAAUGACUUAGUUCUGCCCCUUCUUCCCCUGCUGCCUCUAUAACCCAUUUAAAUAAUUAAUAGAGCUCAAUUUUUUCUUA